AUGUGAACGGUGGAACGUUUGGAGUACAUGGUGUAUUUGUGAUGGAACGUUUGGAGUACAUGGUGUAUUUGUGUUGGAACGUUUGGGGUGCAUGGUGUGUGUGUGAUGGAAGGUUUGGAGUGCAUGGUGUGUGUGUGGUCAGAGGAUGAGGAACCAGUGUGUCCACUGAGGACUGAACAGAUAACGCCAAUCACCUGGUGACUGACCGUGAGGAGGAAAUAAAAUUCAUAUAAAAAUCAUCAACAUCGUCUCCAGUACAGUACAAUCAAACCUCUUAGUUCUCAAGGUCCCUUCUGACCAGAAUAACAAAAAAACUAAA